AGAACGUUGACCACACUGCCCCCACUACUUUAAUCGCAACCAACUUCACUUACUUUACUUUUCUAAAAAACGUGUAGCGAGCAACACCUCGUUCAAAAAACAUUGACUAAAAUGUGAUUCGGUCAUCUUUGGGUGCUUCGUGCAUACGCUGGCAAUUGUGAAUUGAAACAAAAUGGAGUUGGAAUCUCCCAACACGUGCUUUACCGAAAAAGGAUGAAAAUGAUCCAUCGUUCAAAUUUUGGGUUCAUAUGGCGCUAUUCAGUCAGCGUGGAGGUUUAAAUGAUCCAGAAGUUUAAAUGUGGGAACGACACUGGAUUUAACCAUCCCAUGACAAAAUUUGGCCUAGAAUUCUCAUGAAAAGACUAUUCAAGUUGUAUGAGAACAAAACCCAAUGAAGCAGAAUAUUUCUGAAAGGAAAGAAACUUGAUCCAAGGUUAGUAAUAAACCAUUUUGGUUGAAAAAAAGAAUGAAGACUUCAAUGAUGAUAACUAAACCAUUCACAGACAACAUAUAAAGGUUAGGCUCUGACAAACUUCUUCAAUAUUUUUUUGGAGAUAGGGAGUCUUGCUUAACUGGUUAUGGGCCCUGGUUAAAAAAUUGGCACUGAGCUUCUUAAAAUAUAUAAGAAUUUAUUAAUUAUCUGGGCAAUGUAACUGAUGUUGCCUGUUUUUAUCUUUGCAGGUUUGGAAUCCUCGGAGAAAACUUUAUGUUAAAAACCAUACCAAUAAAUAAAAA